rnacentral:rRNA from 1 species
ACGGCUACCUUGUUACGACUUAGCCCCAGUCACCGGUAUUGCCUUAGGACGCUCCUUGCGGUCACGCACUUCAGGCACUCCCGGCUUCCAUGGCUUGACGGGCGGUGUGUACAAGGCCCGGGAACGUAUUCACCGCGCCGUGGCUGAUGCGCGAUUACUAGCGAAUCCAGCUUCAUGGAGUCGGGUUGCAGACUCCAAUCCGAACUGAGACAGGUUUUCGGGUUCCGCGCCCUGUCGCCAGGUGGCUUCCCGCUGUACCUGCCAUUGUAACACGUGUGUCGCCCCGGACGUAAGGGCCGUGCUGAUUUGACGUCAUCCCCGCCUUCCUCGCAGCUUGCGCCGGCAGUCCCGCCAGAGUCCCCAGCUUUACCUGCUGGCAACUGGCGGUAGGGGUUGCGCUCGUUAUGGCACUUAAGCCGACACCUCACGGCACGAGCUGACGACAACCAUGCAGCACCUCGACACAGACCAUUGCUGGCUACCUCCUUUCAAAAGUAUUCCUGUGUCGUUUGAGCCCGGGAAAGGAUCCACGCGUAUCAUCGAAUUAAAC